GCCCUGCAAGAGCAUGGUCCUGGUGUGGCUGUGCUCUCCUAGGAUGUCUGGUGGAUGGCCCUGGCCAAGCCUAACCCAGCCACAGGGGGUUCUGUGCUGAUUUGGGUUUUUUUUAGCUCUAUUUUCUUACUCUCCACCCUCACUUCCAGCUUCCAACUUCCUGUGUCCUGUGUUAUUUUUGACAAGUCAACUCUUGACAGACUCCCAGGCCUGUUAUUACUGGCUUGUACAUACAAGCAGCUAUUAUCUGUCACGGGGUACAUUUCACAAGACUGAUUUUCUGAUCUAAUUCUAGUUUUCUCUUCCCUUCCUUCUUCCAAAUGCAUGGUAGUAGUUCCAUUCUCUUUGGUGGCUGUGUGUGGAGCUCACAGAGAUCCACAUGCUACAGACAGAAGUGAACAGCUGCUUGGAAUGAUGCUGUCUGCCUGGAGUGAUGGAGUGUGCAAGAAUGUGAAAUCCAGGUGUCUUUUAGCAAAGAGUUCUUGGGAACAGAGAAAAUGCAAAGUGAUGCUGGGAAACUCCAGAACAUGAUUUGGGAUGGGAAUCAACGAAUGCUGCAUUCACAAGUGCUGUGCUCCCUCUGCAUUUCUCCUGAUCCUAGUUUUCAUCCCUGUUUUUGUUUUAAUCUGGUGUAUUUUAAUUCAUGGCCUCAUUUUAGCAGUGCAGUGUCUUGCUACUGAUGCAGCUCGUACUAUCACAGCGCUGGGGUUGUAAAGCAAAGCAGACAGUGAUGGCACAGUCCAUGUAAGAUUGUUGAAGCAUUUUAAGAUGUAUCAGAGAUACCCACGUUACCUGUAUUUCACUGCAGUGAUUAAAACAGAGGAUUGGGGUUUGUUCCUGAAGAUGGUGA